rnacentral:rRNA from 1 species
AGAGUUUGAUCAUGGCUCAGGAUGAACGCUAGCGGCAGGCCUAAUACAUGCAAGUCGAACGGUCCGCAAGGAUAGUGGCAAACGGGUGCGUAACGCGUAAGCAACCUGCCCCAUACCGGGGGAUAGCCUGGCGAAAGCCGGGGUAAACCCGCAUAGUCCCUUUCUGUUUCCUGACAGGCCGGGUAAACAUUUAUGGGUAUGGGAGGGGCUUGCGUCUGAUUAGUUAGUUGGCGGGGUAACGGCCCACCAAGACAGUGAUCAGUAGGGGUUCUGAGAGGAUUGGCCCCCACAUGGGUACUGAGAUACGGACCCAACUCCUACGGGAGGCAGCAGUAGGGAAUAUUGGGCAAUGGAGGCAACUCUGACCCAGCCAUGCCGCGUGCAGGAUGAAGGCGCUCAGCGUCGUAAACUGCUUUUAUCUGGGAAGAACUGUAGUCCUGCGGGAUUGUUUGACGGUACCAGAGGAAUAAGCACCGGCUAACUCCGUGCCAGCAGCCGCGGUAAUACGGAGGGUGCAAGCGUUGUCCGGAUUUAUUGGGUUUAAAGGGUGCGCAGGUGGGUAUUUAAGUCUGGUUUGAAAGCAGGUGGCUCAACCAUCUGAUGUGGCUGGAAACUGGAUAUCUUGAAUGGGUUGGCGGUAGCCGGAAUGGGUCAUGUAGCGGUGAAAUGCAUAGAUAUGACCCGGAACACCGAUUGCGAAGGCAGGCUACUACGACUUGAUUGACACUGAGGCACGAGAGCAUGGGUAGCGAACAGGAUUAGAUACCCCGGUAGUCC